UACGUAGGGGGCAAGCGUUGUCCGGAAUCAUUGGGCGUAAAGAGCGUGUAGGCGGCCCGAUAAGUCCGCUGUGAAAGUCCAGGGCUCAACCCUGGGAUGCCGGUGGAUACUGUCGGGCUCGAGUCCGGAAGAGGAGAGCGGAAUUCCUGGUGUAGCGGUGGAAUGCGCAGAUAUCAGGAAGAACACCCGUGGCGAAGGCGGCUCUCUGGGACGGUAUUGACGCUGAGACGCGAAAGCGUGGGGAGCGAACAGG
rnacentral:rRNA from 1 species